rnacentral:lncRNA from 1 species
UUACUCUGAUUGAUAUGUUGUUAUAUUUUAAUUAAAUAUUUGGGGUAUUUUAGAAGGGUGUUACACUAAUCACUAAGUUUAGGGUUGCUCUUGGAAGUUACUAAAGAAUUUGGUCUAAGAAAAGAAAAAGAAAGAAAAAAAUAAGAUGCCAAAACAUGGAAUUUAAAAAAAAUAAUGAAAAAGAAAAGAGAAAGAUCACAUAUUUGAAAAAUC